rnacentral:rRNA from 1 species
GAUGAACGCUGGCGGCGUGCCUAAUACAUGCAAGUCGAGCGAACAGACGAGGAGCUUGCUCCUCGGACGUUAGCGGCGGACGGGUGAGUAACACGUGGAUAACCUACCUAUAAGACUGGGAUAACUUCGGGAAACCGGAUCUAAUACCGGAUAAUAUAUUGAACCGCAUGGUUCAAUAGUGAAAGACGGUUUUGCGGUCACUUAUAGAUGGAUCCGCGCCGCAUUAGCUAGUUGGUAAGGUAACGGCUUACCAAGGCAACGAUGCGUAGCCGACCUAAGAGGGUGAUCGGCCACACUGGAACUGAGACACGGUCCAGAGUCCUAAGGGAGGCAGCAGUAGGGAAUCUUACGCAAUGGGCGAAAGCCUGACGGAGCAACGCCGCGUGAGUGAUGACGGUCUUCGGAUCGUAAAAAUCUGUUAUGAGGGAAGAACAAAUGUGUAAGUAACUAUGCCCGUCUUGACGGUACCUAAUCGGAAAGCAACGGCUAACUACGUG